GAUGAACGCUAGCUACAGGCUUAACACAUGCAAGUCGAGGGGAAACGAUAUUGGAAGCUUGCUUCCGAUAGGCGUCGACCGGCGCACGGGUGAGUAACGCGUAUCCAACCUGCCCACCACUUGGGGAUAACCUUGCGAAAGUAAGACUAAUACCCGAUGAUAUCUCUAUAAGACAUCUGAAAGGGAUUAAAGAUUUAUCGGUGAUGGAUGGGGAUGCGUCUGAUUAGCUUGUUGGCGGGGUAACGGCCCACCAAGGCAACGAUCAGUAGGGGUUCUGAGAGGAAGGUCCCCCCANAUUGGAACUGAGACACGGUCCAAACUCCUACGGGAGGCAGCAGUGAGGAAUAUUGGUCAAUGGGCGAGAGCCUGACCAGCCAAGUAGCGUGCAGGACGACGGCCCUAUGGUUGUAAACGUGCGUUUAUAUGGGGAUAAAGUGAGUUACGUGUAGCUUAUUGCAGGUACCGCACUGAA
rnacentral:rRNA from 1 species